rnacentral:lncRNA from 1 species
CUUCUACUGGUGAUAUGGGAAGGGCCCACUCACUGAACUAACUCCCUUCCCUCUACUCCCAGAGCCCGCCCGGCAGGACCACCGAGCAAGGCCUUGGAAAACCAGAGAGAUUAGAGCGGUGAGUCGCGCCGGUCACGUUGGACGCCUGCGCGUUAGGAGAUUCUGGAGCCAGAACAGCGGAAUUGCCUUCGCCCGCCCUGCCCCUCGCCUGCUUCAGAAGCUUCCAGGAACUCCCGGGUCGGCGACCCAGCCCGAGCCGCCUGGGGCCCCAAGGGAAGCUGAACGCCCUGUGGGCUCCUGGGAUGGUUCUUCCCGUUCUUUGCGCCGCCUUCACCCAUUGAAGAGCCUGUGCCCACCCUGCCCAGUCGCUCUCGGGGCCGCGGAGGAGCUUCCGCUGCCAUCUUCGGAUCCUGUGUUCCGCACGGGGGCUCCACCAGGGCAGGGAUGGUGGGCGGGAAACUGGCAGGGCCUCCGGCGCACCUUCUGCGCGGUGGAGCCGCGGGGCUCAGCUGGGCCGUGGUCCGGCCCUGGGGCCGUAGGGCGAGAGCAGGUAAAGGGAAAAGCAAAAGCUGGGAAAGAAGCCCGGGAGCGGUGGACCAGACAUCCAGACCUCCUGAAAGGCGCAUGCAGAGGCACAGGCGGGAUCUUCUGGAAGUGAGAAUUGUUUUUGUUUGUUUAUUGUAGCAGAAUGGGGAAAUGGAGAGAGAACCUGAAAGAGCCCCAAACUCGAGGACCUAUUGCUCCCCAAGAAUAACAUCUUCCAGAAGAACUAGACAGAAAACUAGGCGUCUGGGAACUCUGAAAUCCUUGGAGGAGUAGCAUCAUCAUGACCCUCUGUGUUCCUUUUGGCAAAGGACUUGCUCCCAUUGUUUGCUUGUUCCAUUGUCUGUCUGUUAAAUAAAUAAAACCCUUUUCAUAUAUCUUUAA